GGGCGUAUAGCUCAGUUGGUUAGAGUGUUGGACGUUUAGUCCGAGGGUCUUGGGUUCAACUCCCAAUACGCCCA
rnacentral:tRNA from 1 species